rnacentral:misc_RNA from 1 species
GAACAAUUUUUUUAACAUUUUCCUUUUUUUAUCAAAAAAUAUAAGGUUCUUUAGAUGAAAUUUAGUUACAAGCCCAAGUCCACUUAAAAUAUGGAAUGCGAUAUAGAUUUAAGCCAAGCCUAGGAUCAAACGCUAAGAAACCCUAGGCUAAACAGAUACCCAAUCACCCAAACUUUGCUGCCGACCUUUACGUCUUCUUCUCCAACAAGAUCUUCACCGGCUUUCAAAUGAAGAUCGGCAAAGGCAAGUGAUCAAAACCGAGACCCACCUCCGACUGCUAGCCAAUGCUUGCUCUGAAGAGCUGCACAAUAAACAGGGGACCAACUUCAACAUGUAAAUCCAAUCGGUGAUACCCAACAAAAGCCCCAUUCUA